CAACAGUCUUUAACUGACUGAAUAAGACCCACCUACAAUAUGAAGGAUAAUCUGCUUUUCAUAAAAUCUACUGAAUGAAAUAUUAAUCUACAAAAUGCCUAAAUCUAAAUGGAGGCUUCAGGAUUUUUGAUCCUAGGAUUACAGCCUGGAGUGGAGGUCAUGUGACCAGCUGCCAGGUAUUCUGUCGCAGCAACAAGACAACUAAUACAGAAGGUGACGCCCGCCCUGUGGAAGGAGGACAGGUGUUUGGCAGCAUGUGCGUGAAGCGAAUUUGGGGCCCUGCCUUCCUCCUCUUUGCUUCCUGGACACCGUGAGGUGAGCAGCUUUCCUCUGCAUGUGCUUGCUGCCACCAUGCCUUGCCUGCCUUGCCAUCGCCCAAAACAGUGCAGCCAACCACAGACUGAAGCCUCAGAAGCCACAAGCCAAAUUCAAUCUUUCUUCAUUUUGAAUCGACUUUUAUAAGCUUGCUUUUUCCCAGUCUGUCAUACUUGACCAGCAUUUCUGGAGCCUGGAGCCUGCUGUCCAGCGGCUGAUGAUUCUAUUACCACUCUAAUGGGAGGAACACAAGAUAUUUCCCAGAAGAUGUGAGAGUUCUGAAUGAACAGUUAUGUCACAAAGCAAAAUUAUCUACCACUUCCUCUUUUAGGGAAGCUUAAAUUCCCAUUAAGAGUAAAACUGGAGCUGAGGAUGGUGGCACACUCCUAUAACAUGGGAGGAAUACCACAAGUUCCAGGCCAGUUAGGGUUACACAGCAAGGCCCCAUCUCAAGAGCAAAUCAAACAACUGCAAAACAAAACAAUAAAAAUUAAGAGUCAGGAACCAAACAUAUGUCAAGAGUGUGAGUGUGAGGAGAGAAUGAAUGAAUGAAAGUCAA